AGAGUUUGAUCCUGGCUCAGGACGAACGCUGGCGGCGCGCCUAACACAUGCAAGUCGAACGGAGCUUAGAGAGCUUGCUUUUUAAGCUUAGUGGCGAACGGGUGAGUAACGCGUGAGUAACCUGCCCUAGAGUGGGGGACAACAGUUGGAAACGACUGCUAAUACCGCAUAAGCCCACGGUACCGCAUGGUACUGAGGGAAAAGGAUUUAUUCGCUUUAGGAUGGACUCGCGUCCAAUUAGCUAGUUGGUGAGGUAACGGCCCACCAAGGCGACGAUUGGUAGCCGGACUGAGAGGUUGAACGGCCACAUUGGGACUGAGACACGGCCCAGACUCCUACGGGAGGCAGCAGUGGGGGAUAUUGCACAAUGGGGGAAACCCUGAUGCAGCGACGCCGCGUGGAGGAAGAAGGUUUUCGGAUUGUAAACUCCUGUCGUUAGGGACGAUAAUGACGGUACCUAACAAGAAAGCACCGGCUAACUACGUGCCAGCAGCCGCGGUAAAACGUAGGGUGCAAGCGUUGUCCGGAAUUACUGGGUGUAAAGGGAGCGCAGGCGGGAAGACAAGUUGGAAGUGAAAACCAUGGGCUCAACCCAUGAAUUGCUUUCAAAACUGUUUUUCUUGAGUAGUGCAGAGGUAGAUGGAAUUCCCGGUGUAGCGGUGGAAUGCGUAGAUAUCGGGAGGAACACCAGUGGCGAAGGCGGUCUACUGGGCACCAACUGACGCUGAGGCUCGAAAGCAUGGGUAGCAAACAGGAUUAGAUACCCUGGUAGUCCAUGCCGUAAACGAUGAUUACUAGGUGUUGGGGGAUUGACCCCCUCAGUGCCGCAGUUAACACAAUAAGUAAUCCACCUGGGGAGUACGGCCGCAAGGUUGAAACUCAA
rnacentral:rRNA from 1 species